rnacentral:RNase_P_RNA from 14 species
GGCGGGAAGCUCAGCGGUGGGGCCACGCGCGGAGUGCGCGUCACUCUCCCGGCCCCUGGGAAGGUCUGAGACUCGGGCCAGCAGCGGCCCUAGCAGGGCCCUCCCCGCGCGCGGGGGGGUGAGUUCCCAGAGAGCGGGCCCCGGCGAGGGCCUUCGGGCAGGAGAGGCCGCGCGCGCGGCGGAUGCCCCCUCCCCGGAGCUUGGAAUAGACUCACGGCCGGCACGGUGAGUUCAAUGGCUGGGCCGGGGCACCCGAGCUGGCCGGCACCGGGCCGCGGGGCUCUGGAACCCAAUUCAGACUACUCUCCCCCGCC